UACGGGGGGGGGCAAGCGUUGUUCGGAAUUACUGGGCGUAAAGGGCUCGUAGGCGGCCAACUAAGUCCGACGUGAAAUCCCCAGGCUUAACCUGGGAACUGCGUCGGAUACUGGAUGGCUUGAAUCCGGGAGAGGGAUGCGGAAUUCCAGGUGUAGCGGUGAAAUGCGUAGAUAUCGGAAGGAACACCAGUGGCGAAAGCGGCUUCCUGGUCCAGCACCGACGUUCAGGCACGAAAGCGUGGGGAGCAAACAGG
rnacentral:rRNA from 1 species